GAUGUACUCCCUCCAUCCGAAAAUACUCGUUAUCAAAAUGUAUAAAAGGGGAUAUAUUUAGAUGUAUUUUAGUUUUAGAUACAUCUUUUUUUAUCUAUUUUAAUGACAAGUAUUUUCGGACGAAGGGAGUAUUGA
rnacentral:pre_miRNA from 1 species